CAGGACCCAGGUUUCCAGCAGAGGUUGCACCAGUGCCAAAUACAGAGGUAAAAUAACUUUUUGCUCCUACUCCAGAUUCCUCUGUUCAUGCAUCCCAGGAUCACAUUAGCUCUUU